GGGAUAACUACUGGAAACGGUAGCUAAUACCGCAUAAUGUCGCAAGACCAAAGUGGGGGACCUUCGGGCCUCAUGCCAUCAGAUGUGCCCAGAUGGGAUUAGCUAGUAGGUGGGGUAACGGCUCACCUAGGCGACGAUCCCUAGCUGGUCUGAGAGGAUGACCAGCCACACUGGAACUGAGACACGGUCCAGACUCCUACGGGAGGCAGCAGUGGGGAAUAUUGCACAAUGGGCGCAAGCCUGAUGCAGCCAUGCCGCGUGUGUGAAGAAGGCCUUCGGGUUGUAAAGCACUUUCAGCGGGGAGGAAGG
rnacentral:rRNA from 1 species